rnacentral:tRNA from 1 species
GGAGGGUAGAGCUCAGUGGUAGAGUAUGUGCUUAGCAUGCACAAGGUCCUGGGUUCAAUCCCCAGUACCUCCA